CCUACGGGGUGCACCAGGCGCGAAAACUUUACAAUGCUGGCAACAGCGAUAAGGGAACCUCGAGUGCCAGGUUACAAAUCUGGCUGUCGAGAUGCCUAAAAAGCAUUUCAUAGCAAGGGCCGGGCAAGACCGGUGCCAGCCGCCGCGGUAACACCGGCGGCUCGAGUGGUAACCGUUAUUAUUGGGUCUAAAGGGUCUGUAGCCGGCCGGAUAAGUCUCUUGAGAAAUCUGGCAGCUUAACUGUCAGGCUUUCAGGAGAUACUGUCUGGCUCGAGGCCGGGAGAGGUGAGAGGUACUUCAGGGGUAGGGGUGAAAUCUUGUAAUCCUUGAAGGACCACCAGUGGCGAAGGCGUCUCACCAGAACGGACCUGACGGCAAGGGACGAAAGCUAGGGGCACGAACCGGAUUAGAUACCCCUGUAGUC
rnacentral:rRNA from 1 species